CUCCAUUCUGCUCUGGAGUGAGGUUCCUGGUACACUACUCUGAGAAAGGUACUCCUGGUCCCUCAAUCUGUAUUGGAUAAAGCCCAAACUCCACCUACGGCCUGGCAUUCAAGGUCUUUCCCUGUCAGGCCUGUCCUUGUCUUUCCGCAUCCAUCUCCUGCUGUAGCUUCAUCUACCUAUGCUCAAACCAGAUAUGAUAAACAAUUGUUGAAAACGUUCCUAUCAAAGGAAUCUUACGCAGAAUCCUAAUGUAUAGAGCAGCUAGAAGUGUAAUUGCUCGGGUCAGGGCACCCCGUCAGCCUGUCCUGCCUGCACAGCACUCCCAGAGCCACAUUCCAGGCCUACAGGCCCAGUGCAGUUUGAAAAAGUAUUGCUUCAUCAUCAUGUGUUGCUACCUCCCUUCCAACUUCCUAACCUUUGCCCUUGCAACUCAUUCCUCUGUUUCCGCAGCCCCAUGCCCUCUCAUUCUUGGAGAAUUAACCAUGUCCUUCUUGGUAAUGUGGAAAUUUUUGUCCCUGCAUUAUGUCCACCUCGCUUGCAGCUGGAUGUGGCCAUGUGACUGAGUUCUGCCAAUGGUGAGUGAACAGAGAAUCCACAUCAGAGCUCAAGAUGUAAAGAGCCAGAUCCCUGGCUGACCAUGGGGAAGAAUAUCUGGGGCAAUAGAAGAACCAGAGACUGGCUCAUGGGGCAGAUAAUACCCCCACCCACUAGCCCAGAUAUCCAGAACACCUGCAGGCACAGGGCAGACUCUUGAGCCAACCCCAUGGCCAUCCACAAUCCCAGUGAGGCAGGAAGAGACACAGACUCUGCCCACCUGGCCCAGUACUAAGAAACACCCCUGCCUUUGCAUGUGCGUGCAGGGUCCUCAACCCGUGUGUGUUGUGGGGGGGUCCUCACACUCCAAGUAUGGGUAACAACCCCUAAUACGUGGCACCAGGACACAGUGGGCCUUGGGAGGCCAGUCUCGGCCCAGUCGAUGUGGCCACCCCCAGCACCAAGGUGCCCUCGCUGUGCAGGGCAUCAGCAACUUAGAUGAGUUUUCAUUUAACAUUCUCUUUAUCACAAUUACUUUGAAAACUAUUCAGUGCAGUUAUUAAUAAUUAAUUAUUAUCUGCUGUUAUAUUAAUUAUCUGGCCAUCAGGAAUGUCACCAAGAUUUAAAAUUUUUGAUUGUUAAUAAUAUUUCCUGGAC
rnacentral:lncRNA from 1 species